GUCUCUAUUUGCUCAACUGUGAGCAGCCUGGCAUAAUCUCUCCACAUGCUACAUUACCCUCCCAGACAUUAACAGUCAGAUAAUUCCAAAUGGAUUUCACACAAAACGAGUCAUUCCAGAAUUACUGAGAGAAGAGCAACAAUGUUAGCCCUGUCUUCUGAGGUUCUCAAACUAGUAUACAGUAGAUAAUGAAUUGACAUGUGUGGUCAUGCAUAGGGUAUCUUUGAGAAGAUAAGCCUACACACAAUACAGUUCUGGAAUGGGUAUAUUAGCAGUCUGUUGAGAACAUGCAAAUGCUCAUCUCCUAUCAGAUACAAAGAAUCAGGACUAUUCAUAAAGUUGCAGCAUAGAAGAUUUAUUCAAGCCUAUACACAAGAAUCUGGUCAAAUAAAGUUCAACACUAAAUUGUGCCAGAUAA